rnacentral:lncRNA from 1 species
AUUGGGCGCAACACGCGCGCACUCGGCAACUUGGUGCAUCGCAUCGGUGCUCCAUGGACAACCGUUGGCGUGUGCCCAUACGAGGACGUCUGGGUGAUUCCAUGUCGCCGCCUCGACGUACACGCGCUCAUCCCAAGGGCAACCACCUGCGCGCAUGUGCUUUAGGGCGGCGAGGUGGCCGCACCCGGCGACGUACGCGCACGCCUCGGCGUCCCACGGUUGGCAGUGUGCGUGCAGCCAAUCGAGCACGGCCACACAACCGCUUUCGGCAGCGUCGGCAAACGCCCACGGGUUUGAACCGGUGCAACCGUGAUCGCGCAACCACACGAGGACGUCGAUACGCCCCAGACGCGCGGCCACGCAUAGGGCCUCUGCGCGCGGUGUAUCGUCUGCGCCGUCUGCAUCUUGAUCGCCAUAAAGGUCGGGCCAUCUCGAAACGAUCACGUUGGUCACCGCACAUCCACGCGCGAGACACCAUUCGGCGACAUCCAAAUGGCCGUGGGCGGCGGCCGUCGCGGUGGCUUCCGCGUGCCACGGGCACCCAUGCGCCAUGGCCCAUUCGAGGACGCAGAGGUGACCGCGUGCUGCGCUAUAAAGGCACACACGAUCGUCCCAUGGGCAACCGGCCGCGCGAAGCCAUUUGAGCGCACCGAGUUGAUCCCCAUCUGCGGCGGCGGUCGUGUAGAUGGCCUUGUCAAACGCGUGGCCCUCGGCGGCAAACCAUUCCAGUACCUCGGUGUGGCCUCCGUGGGCGGCCGCGACGAUCGAACACGAGCGUCCCCUGUAGCCACGGUCGUGCAACCACGUGAGGAUGUGCGUAUGGCCGCCGCCGGCCGCUCGACGGACGACGUCGUCGGUGCAAGGGCACGGCGGAACACGACCGAUGGCGGCGAUGGUUUCGACCUCUGAUAGGGUAAACCACGAGCACAACUCGUUGCAGAACUUGUGGCAAUGGUCUGCGAUGAGUGCGAGCGCGCCGAGGUGACCGGCGCCCGCGACGCCGGCCAUGACCUCGUAGGCCUCGUCGAUCGGGUCGGACCGCGCAAUAAUCCAUCUAAGGGCGUCGGCGUCGCCGCGGGCGCCGGCUGCCUUGAGACAGUCCCUGACAUUCCACGGCCGUCCACUAUCAACAAGAUGGUAAAAGAGGGCCGUGUGUCCGCCUUGUAGGGCGGCGGUGGGCGCGUGGACAUCCCACGGACAUCCCUCGGCGCACGCCCACUCGACCAGGUUGUGAUAUCCGGCAUGUGCCGCGUGCCAGAGGAAAUCCUGUUGGCGUCGUUUGGAGGGAAUGCUCUCGUCGUCGACGAUCCGGCGCGCGUCGCGCAGAUGCAAGACCGCCGCGCGCCACAAACGAGAUACGCGCGCGCACACAACGAGGUCAAACGAAUCGACGACACCGAGGAUCGCGUGCACAAGUUCCGACGGCAGAUGGUCAAAGCGCGCACCGCCGCCGGCGUCCGUGCCGCUGCCCAUCGAAACACAAACCGACGACGAGCGGGCGCUGCCGCACGACUCGACGUGCGGCGCGCCAAAAAGGGAGCCCAUCGACGUUGUUUGUUGUUUUAUGUGAGGAAAAGAAAAAGUUUGCACGCACGAGCGUAUGGCUUCGUGUGUGUGCGUGUGCGUGAUGGGCGAUAACGCAAGAGAACAACCGGCCGCUCCGGGAUGCGUUCACACAGAUUGUGGAUUUGCAGUGGCGGCAGACCCCAGGCAAAAAAAAAGACGCGAUCGCUCAUGCUCACGGAAAUGGCGCUUGCGCGGGGAAAAGGCAACGCACCUUUUGUAUCCGCCCUAUUUGCCUGAUUCAAUUGGAUGCCAAGAAAGAACCAGGCCUUUGGCG